GGCUUCAUAGCUCCGUUGGUAGAGCAACGGACUGAAAAUCCGUGUGUCGCUGGUUCGAAUCCCGCUGGAGCCA
rnacentral:tRNA from 1 species